AGAGUUUGAUCCUGGCUCAGAUUGAACGCUGGCGGCAUGCUUUACACAUGCAAGUCGAGCGGCAGCGCGGGGGCAACCCUGGCGGCGAGCGGCGGACGGGUGAGUAAUGCAUCGGAACGUAUCCCGUAGUGGGGGACAACCCAGCGAAAGCUGGGCUAAUACCGCAUAUGCUCUACGGAGGAAAGUGGGGGACUUCGCAAGGAGCCUCACGCUAUGGGAGCGGCCGAUGUCCGAUUAGCUAGUUGGUGAGGUAAAGGCCCACCAAGGCGACGAUCGGUAGCUGGUCUGAGAGGAUGAUCAGCCACACUGGGACUGAGACACGGCCCAGACUCCUACGGGAGGCAGCAGUGGGGAAUUUUGGACAAUGGGGGCAACCCUGAUCCAGCCAUGCCGCGUGCGGGAAGAAGGCCUUCGGGUUGUAAACCGCUUUUGGUCGGGAAGAAAGGGUUCGUCCUAAUAGGGCGGACUGUUGACGGUACCGGCAGAAUAAGCACCGGCUAACUACGUGCCAGCAGCCGCGGUAAUACGUAGGGUGCGAGCGUUAAUCGGAAUUACUGGGCGUAAAGCGUGCGCAGGCGGUAAGUUAAGUCUGAUGUGAAAGCCCCGGGCUCAACCUGGGAAUGGCAUUGGAAACUGGCUUGCUGGAGUGUGGCAGAGGGGGGUGGAAUUCCGCGUGUAGCAGUGAAAUGCGUAGAGAUGCGGAGGAACACCGAUGGCGAAGGCAGCCCCCUGGGCCAACACUGACGCUCAGGCACGAAAGCGUGGGGAGCAAACAGGAUUAGAUACCCUAGUAGUCC
rnacentral:rRNA from 1 species